GACGAACGCUGGCGGCGUGCCUAAUACACGCAAGUAGAACGCUGAAGGAGGAGCUUGCUCUUCUGGAUGAGUUGCGAACGGGUGAGUAACGCGUAGGUAACCUGCCUGGUAGCGGGGGAUAACUAUUGGAAACGAUAGCUAAUACCGCAUAAGAGUAGAUGUUGCAUGACAUUUGCUUAAAAGGUGCAAUUGCACCACUACCAGAUGGACCUGCGUUGUAUUAGCUAGUUGGUGGGGUAACGGCUCACCAAGGCGACGAUACAUAGCCGACCUGAGAGGGUGAUCGGCCACACUGGGACUGAGACACGGCCCAGACUCCUACGGGAGGCAGCAGUAGGGAAUCUUCGGCAAUGGACGGAAGUCUGACCGAGCAACGCCGCGUGAGUGAAGAAGGUUUUCGGAUCGUAAAGCUCUGUUGUAAGAGAAGAACGAGUGUGAGAGUGGAAAGUUCACACUGUGACGGUAUCUUACCAGAAAGGGACGGCUAACUACGUGC
rnacentral:rRNA from 1 species